rnacentral:rRNA from 1 species
GAUGAACGCUGGCGGCGUGCCUAAUACAUGCAAGUCGAGCGAACAGACGGGGAGCUUGCUCCUCUGACGUUAGCGGCGGACGGGUGAGUAACACGUGGAUAACCUACCUAUAAGACUGGGAUAACUUCGGGAAACCGGAGCUAAUACUGGAUAAUAUAUUGAACCGCAUGGUUCAAUAGUGAAAGACGGUUUUGCUGUCACUUAUAGAUGGAUCCGCGCCGCAUUAGCUAGUUGGUAAGGUAACGGCUUACCAAGGCAACGAUGCGUAGCCGACCUGAGAGGGUGAUCGGCCACACUGGAACUGAGACACGGUCCAGACUCCUACGGGAGGCAGCAGUAGGGAAUCUUCCGCAAUGGGCGAAAGCCUGACGGAGCAACGCCGCGUGAGUGAUGAAGGUCUUCGGAUCGUAAAACUCUGUUAUUAGGGAAGAACAAAUGUGUAAGUAACUAUGCACGUCUUGACGGUACCUAAUCAGAAAGCCACGGCUAACUACGUG